rnacentral:rRNA from 1 species
CUUACCAUGCAGUCGAACGGUGAAGCAGAGCUUGCUCUGUGGAUCAGUGGCGAACGGGUGAGUAACACGUGAGCAACCUGCCCCUGACUCUGGGAUAAGCGCUGGAAACGGCGUCUAAUACUGGAUAUGAGCUGCGACCGCAUGGUCAGCAGUUGGAAAGAUUUUUCGGUCUGGGAUGGGCUCACGGCCUAUCAGCUUGUUGGUGAGGUAAUGGCUCACCAAGGCGUCGACGGGUAGCCGGCCUGAGAGGGUGACCGGCCACACUGGGACUGAGACACGGCCCAGACUCCUACGGGAGGCAGCAGUGGGGAAUAUUGCACAAUGGGCGAAAGCCUGAUGCAGCAACGCCGCGUGAGGGAUGACGGCCUUCGGGUUGUAAACCUCUUUUAGCAGGGAAGAAGCGAAAGUGACGGUACCUGCAGAAAAAGCGCCGGCUAACUACGUGCCAGCAGCCGCGGUAAUACGUAGGGCGCAAGCGUUAUCCGGGAAUUAUUGGGCGUAAAGAGCUCGUAGGCGGUUUGUCGCGUCUGCUGUGAAAUCCCGAGGCUCAACCUCGGGUCUGCAGUGGGUACGGGCAGACUAGAGUGCGGUAGGGGAGAUUGGAAUUCCUGGUGUAGCGGUGGAAUGCGCAGAUAUCAGGAGGAACACCGAUGGCGAAGGCAGAUCUCUGGGCCGUUACUGACGCUGAGGAGCGAAAGGGUGGGGAGCAAACAGGCUUAGAUACCCUGGUAGUCCACCCCGUAAACGUUGGGAACUAGUUGUGGGGUCCAUUCCACGGAUUCCGUGACGCAGCUAACGCAUUAAGUUCCCCGCCUGGGGAGUACGGCCGCAAGGCUAAAACUCAAAGGAAUUGACGGGGACCCGCACAAGCGGCGGAAGCAUGCGGAUUAAUUCGAUGCAACGCGAAGAACCUUACCAAGGCUUGACAUAUACGAGAACGGGCCAGAAAUGGUUCAACUCUUUGGACACUCGUAAACAGGUGGUGCAUGGGUUGUCGUCAGCUCGUGUCGUGAGAUGUUGGGAUUAAGUCCCGCAACGAGCGCCAACCCUCGUUCUAUGUUGCCAGCACGUAAUGGUGGGAACUCAUGGGAUACUGCCGGGGUCAACUCGGAGGAAGGUGGGGAUGACGUCAAAUCAUCAUGCCCCUUAUGUCUUGGGCUUCACGCAUGCUACAAUGGCCGGUACAAAGGGCUGCAAUACCGUGAGGUGGAGCGAAUCCCAAAAAGCCGGUCCCAGUUCGGAUUGAGGUCUGCAACUCGACCUCAUGAAGUCGGAGUCGCUAGUAAUCGCAGAUCAGCAACGCUGCGGUGAAUACGUUCCCGGGUCUUGUACACACCGCCCGUCAAGUCAUGAAAGUCGGUAACACCUGAAGCCGGUGGCCCAACCCUUGUGGAGGGAGCCGUCGAAGGUGA